UCCUAUUGUAUCUUUUCAGUGUUUCUACUUCUCCAGUUCCACACAUUUAAUUAUCAGCAGGAUUGAUGGGAUUUUAUAAAUGCUAUCAUUCUUGACAGUAUUCCAUAUCUUCUUGGGUCAGUCAGAAAUUGCACCCAGAAUUGCUGAACUAUCCCUGGAAUGUGUUUUAAAAAACUUAAAACAUGAACCUAAGGAGGAAAGCAUGGUGAAAACAGCUAAAAUGCAAACGACCAACACUUGGAUGCAAUUCUUAAGGACAUGGCUGAGAACUGUGAAAUCUUAAGGAUCCUUGGUAGAUUUCUGGAAAAAUCUUGCAUCAGCAAGUAUAUUUCAGCGAUAUUGCAAUUCUUUUGGGGUCUUUUUCUAUGCAAAGUGGAGAUGUGUGCCUUUAUUUAAUGCAAAUUGCAAACAAAAUGCAAAGAAACAGAAAACAUUUUAGUUGAUACAUCUGUAACUAUUCAAAUGAGUCUAAAAAUAAAUGUUGCUUCCUGAA
rnacentral:lncRNA from 11 species